GCGGAGUCUCGAGGAGCAGCUCUCCUACUGUCACACUGGCUACUAGUACUACUCAGAACUGUACGCUAUUACCGGUGUAGUUCAGUGCUCUCUGCUCAGCCUACGUACACAGCUCGAUCGAUGAUGUACCGGAGGAUAACCGCCCGGCUGCUCGUCGUCGCCGCCGUCGUCCUCCUGUCCCUGCUGCUGGCCUCCUGCGCGGCCGUCCCGCGUGGCCUUGGCCUGCCGCCGCCGCGUCCUCCUCCGGGUACGUACGUGUAUACCCACCGAAGUUUCCUUUGGACGUUCCAAAUGCUAGCUCUUGUUCUUGUUGUGUGCAUGAAUGGGUGCGUCCAUGUGAUGGCAGUGCUGCUCCUAGGCGGCGGCCGGAGCCCGGCGCGCGAGGGGAUGGAGCUGGAUCUGGGAACGCCCGCGAGGCGGCUGGGGCAGCAAACGUCGACGAAUGUGCCUCCCUCGCCGAAGCCCCACGGCAACUCGGGGUCGGCGGGGCCCGACACGCCGCCGUCGAGCAACGAGUAGGGCGACGAGGCUCCGUGGCGCGAGCACGCGACGGUGGCCGUGGGGUAGGUACGAUGUAUGGUAGUGCUCCAUGUACAACGGACAGCUAGCUGCAUGCCAUGUUCGAGAACACUUUCGCCGGUGUACAAGUCAAUAAGCUCGUUUCGAAAAGAAAAAAAAUGUCAAUAAGUUGCGUGCUCCGCACCUCAUUGGUCUUUCCGUGUGUACAACGACACUUUCACUAGUGCAUAAUAAUUCAGUGACCCGCAAAAGAUAUAUCCGGUGAGCACGUUUCGCACAAAGUCAAUAUAUGUUGCUUCUUUC
rnacentral:lncRNA from 1 species